rnacentral:rRNA from 1 species
CAGAGUAAUUGGGCGUAAAGUGUGUUUCGGCUGUUUAAAAAGAUUUAUAUUAAAUAUUUGGGUUCAACUCAAAAAAUGUAUAAAUUACUAUUAAACUUGAGUUUAAUAUAAGAAAAUAGAAUUUUGUGUGUAGCGGUGAAAUGUGCAGAUAUACAAAGGAAUACCGAAGGCGAAAGCAUUUUUCCUGGUUACAACUGACGCUUAUAACACGAAAGCGUGGGUAGCAAACAGGAUUAGAUACCCUGGUAGUCCACGCCGUAAACUAUGUCGAUUAGCUGUUUUUUAGUAGCGAAGCUAACGCGUUAAAUCGACCGCCUGGGAACUACGAUCGCAAGAUUAAAACUCAAAGGAAUUGACGGGGACCAGCACAAGCGGUGGAUGAUGUGGAUUAAUUCGAUGAUACACGAAAAACCUUACCUACUCUUGACAUGGUUAGAAUUUUAUUGAAAAAUAAAAGUGCUUGAAAAAGAACUAACACACAGGUGCUGCAUGGCUGUUGACAGCUCGUGUCGUGAGAUGUUGGGUUAAGUCCCGCAACGAGCGCAACCCCUACUCUUAGUUGCUAAGCUUUAAGUACUUUAAGAGAACUGCCGACGAUAAGUCCAGGAGGAAGGAGGGGAAGACUUCAAGUCCUCAUGGCCCUUAUGGGUAGGGCUUCACACGUCAUACAAUGGUUGAUACAAUAAGUUGCAAAAUUGCAAAAUGGAGCUAAUCUAAAAAAUCAAUCUUAGUUCGGAUUGUACUCUGCAACUCGAGUGCAUGAAGUUGGAAUCGCUAGUAAUCGCGGAUCAGCAUGCCGCGG